GAUGAAGAACGCAGCAAAAUGCGAUAAGUAAUGUGAAUUGCAGAAUUCAGUGAAUCAUCGAAUCUUUGAACGCACAUUGCGCCCGCCAGUAUUCUGGCGGGCAUGCCUGUUCGAGCGUCAUUUCAACCCUCAAGCAUAGCUUGGUGUUGGGACUCGCGUUAAUUCGCGUUCCUCAAAUUGAUUGGCGGUCACGUCGAGCUUCCAUAGCGUAGUAGUAAAACCCUCGUUACUGGUAAUCGUCGCGGCCACGCCGUUAAACCCCAACUUCUGAAUGUUGACCUCGGAUCAGGUAGGAAUACCCGCUGAACUUAAGCAUAUCAAUAAGCGGAGGA
rnacentral:misc_RNA from 1 species